GAGUGAAGACUUGGGUUGGGUGCCACGGGAGCUGCUUGGGAGAACCGAGAGGAGCUUGCUGGGAAAGAAGGGUGAAGGGCAUUUGAGGGAUGGGGUUGGAGGCAUAGCACAUGCACGGAGACAGAGCUGAAGAGUCCUGGCAUGGCGGGAUGACCUGUGUGGGGGCGGAACUCCAAGGAUGCGUUAAGAAGGGUGGAUGUGCUUAAGCAGGACAGUGACGGGUAAGGCAGUGUGGGAGGAAGGCCCGGCAGCAGCCCAGAAGCGAGCCUGGAGCAGUCAGACUGUAAGGGGGCCCAGGCAGUGCCUGCAGGGGCUUGUUGACUGACUUUAACAUCCGCCUGACUGGAGGAGCAAAGCUUUUUGGCUGGGCUUCUCUGUCCAUGAGGAUUCUCCAGGCAGGAAUACUGGAGUGGGUUGCCACGUCCUCCUCCAGGGGAUCUCCCCAACCCAGGGAUUGAACCCAUGUCUCUAUGUCUACCUGCAUUGGCAGGUGGGGUCUUUACCACCAGCACCACCUGGAAAGCCCUUACUCAGUCUGGAGGGACAGCUGUUUAAGUGAGAGGCUGACCAUCCUUAGUCAAGGCAUCCGAAAAGGCAGAGGAACCAGAGAUCAAAUUGCCAACAUCCGCUGGAUCAUGGAAAAAGCAAGAGAGUUCCAGAAAUACAUCUAUUUUUGCGUUAUUGACUAUGCCAAAGCCUUUGAC
ensembl:lncRNA